UACGUAGGGAGCAAGCGUUGUCCGGAAUUACUGGGCGUAAAGGGCGCGUAGGCGGGGUUAUAAGUUAGGUGUGAAAACGUAGGGCUUAACUUUACGAUUGCACUUAAAACUGUAAUUCUUGAGUACAGGAGAGGAAAGUGGAAUUCCUAGUGUAGCGGUGAAAUGCGUAGAUAUUAGGAGGAACACCAGUGGCGAAGGCGACUUUCUGGACUGUAACUGACGCUGAGGCGCGAAAGCGUGGGGAGUGAACGGGAUUAGAUACCCCCGUAGUCCCUGAGCGGGCUGGCAA
rnacentral:rRNA from 1 species